rnacentral:tRNA from 1 species
GUUUAUAUAGCUUAAAUGAGAGCGAGACACUGAAGAUGCCUAGGUAGAAGAUAUUCUUAUAAACA